rnacentral:rRNA from 1 species
UCAAGUAAAAAAGAGCACAAGGCGAAUGCCUGGGCAAUAGGAGCCGAAGAAGGACGUGGCAAGCUGCGAAAAGCCUCGGGGAGCCGCAAACAGGCACCGAUCCGGGGAUGUCCGAAUGGGGAAACCCCUAUGGAAUCAAAGCCAUAGACCGUAAACUGAAAGCGAAAGCAUAGGGUUACGGGGGGAACCCGCUGAACUGAAACAUCUAAGUAGGGCGAGGAAAAGAAAUCAACCGAGAUUCCGCAAGUAGUGGCGAGCGAACGCGGAGGAGGCCAAACCAGGGGUAGCAAUAUCCCUGGGGUAAGGACACACUAUAAGGCGCGCAGGUUAACCGAACGGCAUGGGAAGGCCGACGAUAAAGGGUGAGAGUCCCGUAGGUGAAAACUGAGUGCGCUGUGUGUGAAUCCGGAGUACCUCGGGACACGAGGAAUCCCGAGGGAAGACAGGUGGACCACCAUCGAAGCCUAAAUACUCCCUAUUGACCGAUAGAGAAGCAGUACCGUGAGGGAAAGGUGAAAAGGACCCCGAGAGGGGAGUGAAAAGAACCUGAAACCUUGUGCUUACAAGCACACAAAGGACGUUAAAGUCUGAUGUGGUACUUUUUGUAGAACGGUCCGGCGAGUUUAUGAAUGCAGCGAGGUUAAGCUAUUAAGUAGUGAAGCCGAAGGGAAACCGAGUGUUAACAGCGCGCAAAGUUGCAUGCAUAAGACCCGAAACCGGGUGACCUAUCCAUGUGCAGGGUGAAGUCGGGGUAAAGCUCGAUGGAGGCCCGAACCGACCCCCGUUGAAACGUUGGCGGAUGACAUGUGGAUAGCGGAGAAAUUCCAAACGAACUCGGAGAUAGCUGGUUCUCCCCGAAAUAGCUUUAGGGCUAGCCUUACGGCAGAUUAGCGGAGGUAAAGCACUGAAUGGUCGCGAGGCCGAAAAGGUUAUCAACACCUAUCAAACUCAGAAUGCCGCAAAAUUGGUCCGUAGGAGUCAGACAGUGUCAGAUAAGUGUCAUUGUCAAAAGGGAAACAGCCCAGACCCACAGCUAAGGUCCCGAAAUCAUACUAAGUGGAAAACGAUGUGGAGUUGCGAAAACAACCAGGAUGUUGGCUUAGAAGCAGCCACUCAUUGAAAGAGUGCGUAAUAGCUCACUGGUCGAGUGACUCUGCGCGGAAGAUAUAACGGGGCUAAGCAUACAACCGAAGCUUAGGAAGUCGCAAGACUUGGUAGGGGAGCGUCGCAUACGGGGCGAAGCAUGAGCGGAAGCACAUGUGGACUGUAUGCGAGUGAGAAUGCCGGAAUGAGUAGCGAGAAUUAUGUGGGAAUCAUAAUGGCCGAAAAUCUAAGGUUUCUUGGGGAAGGUUCGUCCGCCCAAGGUAAGUCGGGAGCUAAGGCGAGGCCGAAAGGCGUAGUCGAUGCACAUACGGUUGAAAUUCCGUAACCACCGAAACUGUUAAGCACAGGGACACAUAGAGAUAGCUGAACCCGGGCGUUGGUUGACCCGGGCGAAAGGGACCGAACAUCAGUAGGGAAGUCGGCGAUGCUCUGUGGCGAGAAAAGCUGUGUGAAUUAGUUAGGUGCCCGUACCGCAAACCGACACAGGUAGAUGAGGAGAGAAUCCUAAGGCCAACGGGAGAAGGGUUGUCAAGGAACUCGGCAAAUUGACCCCGUAACUUCGGAAUAAGGGGAGCCUGCUACGGCAGGCCGCAGUGAAAAGGCUCAAGCGACUGUUUAGCAAAAACACAGGUCUCUGCUAAAUCGAAAGAUGACGUAUAGGGGCUGACGCCUGCCCGGUGCCGGAAGGUUAAGAGGAGAGCUUAGCGCAAGCGAAGGUUUGAAUUGAAGCCCCGGUAAACGGCGGCCGUAACUAUAACGGUCCUAAGGUAGCGAAAUUCCUUGUCAGGUAAGUUCUGACCCGCACGAAUGG